UACGUAGGGUGCAAGCGUUAAUCGGAAUUACUGGGCGUAAAGCGUGCGCAGGCGGUUUUGUAAGUUUGUCGUGAAAGCCCCGGGCUCAACCUGGGAAUUGCGAUGAAGACUGCAAGGCUUGAAUCUGGCAGAGGGGGGUAGAAGUUCCACGUGUAGCAGUGAAAUGCGUAGAGAUGUGGAGGAACACCGAUGGCGAAGGCAGCCCCCUGGGUCAAGAUUGACGCUCGAUGCACGAAAGCGUGGGGAGCAAACAGG
rnacentral:rRNA from 1 species